CGUUAAUGCUUUAAGUUGUGUUCUAUUGAAAGGAUCUAGCUACAGGCUAACCAGAGUUUGACUCGGCGGAAGCAUAAAUAUUGCAGCGCGGAAGGAUACAUGAGUGAAUCGACAGUGAUCCAAGUGUCAAUCAAAGGUGGGAGGAUGGCGCUUCGACAUUUAUCCACGUAGGAUUUAAUCACCGGAGUUAUUUAAUUUUGGGAUAGAGGUCACUGAAGAGGAGAGAAGUAAAUUCAAAGAUAAUGAAGUUGACGGAGAAGCAGUGGACUAUGGAUUGACUGAGAGGAUGAUUUCAUGCCUCUUUGAAGGAUCGUUUAAGAAGCAAGCCAAAUUCAACCGAUUUGUUCAGCAGUUCUAAACAUACACACAGAUUGGGCAUUAUGUGGAAAACUAUUAAUUCCUCUUUCUUUCUGUCAUCACUAUUACGCCUACUUGGUGAAAUAUGAACAGGACUGGACUGUCCUUGACCCUUUUGAGGUGAUGGAUUUUCAUGCUUUGGAUACAUACGGUGUCGAUGAUAAACUGUUUGUUAGUAUGCAGCAUUUAUGUUUAGCUGUGUUGGGAGGGUUGUAGAGCGUUGUGGAUGAGCUCAAAGCUUGUGUUUUUUAAUCCAGAACACAUCAAGUGUCAUGUAGUUUAUCCGUUAAGUGACUCUUUACUUUGGUGUGGUGUGCUAAAGUGUUUUGCUUGGUCUUUGAUAAUAAACUUAUGUUUUUCUGCACUA